AAAACCCGAUGUUUACAGACACCGAAACAAUGGUGUUUACCGACACCAAAAAUGAUGACCAGACAUUUACUGAUGACUGGGGAGAAUACCCGAUGUUUACAGACACCGAAACAAUGGUGUUUACCGACACCAAACAAAGAAACACACGCGGGUGCUAGUAUGACACUUACCGGUAUCACAAGAACGACAUCUUAGAUAUGUCAAGGCAAGGUUGACCACUUGCUGGGGGUCUCACUGGGGAGAAACAAAC
rnacentral:lncRNA from 1 species